rnacentral:tRNA from 1 species
GGAAGGAUGCCGGAGUGGUCGAUCGGGGCGGUCUCGAAAACCGUUGACCAGCUUGCUGGUCCCAGGGUUCGAAUCCCUGUCCUUCCGCCA